GACGAACCGUGCGAACGUUGUUCGGAAUCACUGGGCUUAAAGGGCGCGUAGGCGGUUUGCCAAGUCAGGGGUGAAAUCCUGCAGCUCAACUGUAGAAGUGCCUUUGAUACUGGCGAACUCGAGGGAGGUAGGGGUGGGUGGAACUUCUGGUGGAGCGGUGAAAUGCGUUGAUAUCCGAAAGAACACCGGUGGCGAAGGCGGUGGUCUGGGCCUGAACUGACGCUGAGGAGCGAAAGCCAGGGGAGCAAACGGG
rnacentral:rRNA from 1 species